rnacentral:snoRNA from 1 species
CGCAACUCCUACCCAUUGGUUGGUCAGAUUUAACCCUUUUUGACACGACUAAGAUUAACUGUUUGCCAGAGAAAGUCAUGCAACUUACCAUGUAGAUGGUCGAUCCAUAUCAUUUACAGAAGUAGAAGCAUAACAAAC